CCCUGCUUUGGCAGUGCAUCUACUACAGUUGGAAUGAAUAGCACAGAGAAGAUUGACAUGGGCCCUGUGCAAGGAUGACACACAAAUCUGUAAAGUGUUCCAUAUUAAA